rnacentral:rRNA from 1 species
GACGAACGCUGGCGGCGUGCUUAACACAUGCAAGUCGAACGCUGAGGCUCAGCUUUUGUUGGGUGGAUGAGUGGCGAACGGGUGAGUAACACGUGAGUAACCUGCCCCCUUCUUUGGGAUAACUCCCGGAAACGGGUGCUAAUACUGGAUAUUCACUGGUCUUCGCUUGGGGGGUGUGGGAAGGGGUUGUUGUGGUGGGGGGUGGGGUGGCGGAUGAGCAGCUUGUUGGUGGGGUGAUGGGCUACCAAGUUUUUGACGGGUCGCCGGCCUGGGAGGGGGACCGGUCACAUGGGGACUGAGAUAGGGCCCAGACUACGACGGGAGGCAGUAGGGGGGAAUAUUGUACAAUGGGUGGAAGAAUGAGGCGGAGACGCAGCGUGAGGGAUGGAGGCCGGCGGGUUGGGAACCGCUUUGGCUCAUGGUCAAGCCGCAACCAUGGUGGUGGUGACGGUAGUGGGUAAAGAGGCGCCGGCUAACUACGUG